GGGUUCUUAGCUCAGCGGUUAGAGCCACCCGCUCAUAACGGGUUGGUCGCAGGUUCGAAUCCUGCAGAACCCACCA
rnacentral:tRNA from 1 species